rnacentral:rRNA from 1 species
AACGAACGCUGGCGGCGUGCCUAACACAUGCAAGUCGUGCGAGAAAGUUCCUUCGGGAGCGAGUAAAGCGGCGCACGGGUGAGUAACACGUAGGUAACCUGCCCCCCAGUCUGGAACAACUAGAGGAAACUCUAGCUAAUGCCGGAUGAGACCACGAUCCCUUCGGGGGUUGCGGCCAAAGAUGGCCUCUACUUGUAAGCUAUCGCUGAGGGAUGGGCCUGCGGGCCAUUAGCUUGUUGGUGAGGUAACGGCUCACCAAGGCUGUGAUGGCUAGCUGGUCUGAGAGGAUGACCAGCCACACUGGGACUGAGACACGGCCCAGACUCCUACGGGAGGCAGCAGUGGGGAAUAUUGCGCAAUGGGCGAAAGCCUGACGCAGCGACGCCGCGUGGGUG